GAUAUUAUUAUUAUUUUAGGAAAGUAAGAAAAAUCAUUUUUGUAAGUAGUAUUGGUGAAAGAAUUUUUUAUAUAAAACUAUAGUGGGAAAGUACCGUGAGGGAAAGGAAUUAAUUUUUGAAGAAGUAAGAAUUUAUAUCUGUACCUUUUGUAUGAUGGUUUAUUAAGAGAGGAGGUAAAAAUUUAUUGUUCCCGAAACAAGUCGAGCUACUAAGUUUCCAUGUCAAUGUUGAAAAAUUGUAUAAAGAGAGCUUAGUUGUAAUGAAACGUUUAUCGAGACUUGUGAUAGCUGGUUAGUUAAUAAAAAUAUAGAAGUGUUUGUUUUCAAUAAUGUUUAAUAUUAAGAUAAUCUUAAAUUGAAUUGAAGGGCUAAUACAUAAAAGGAUAAGCUUUUGUGUUUUGUAAAAAUUUUAUAUAAAAAAGAAUCGAGUAUGGGUUUAAAAUUAGCCAUUAAUUAAAAAAUUUGUUAUAAAUUAUGUUUCUUUAAAAAAAAUUGUUUGAUAGAAAUUUUACUCUUGUUUAUUGACUGUUUUUAAGAAAUUAGUAAUUAAAAGUGAUUCUGGUAAAAUGAGUAUUUUGAAAAAAGAUUUUGAUAAUAGUAGAAUAACAAAAUUAAUAAAGAUUUUGUUUUAAAAUGAGAAAAAGGAAUUCGGCAAAAAUCUAUUUCGCCUGUUUAUCAAAAACAUGGCUCUUUGUAAUAUUUAGAUAGAGAGUCUGACCUGCCCGGUGAAAAUAUUUAACGGCCGCGGUACCCUGACCGUGCAAAGGUAGCAUAAUCAUUUGCCUUUUAAUUGAAGGCUAGUAUGAAUGGUUUGACGAAAAUAGUUCUGUCUCUUUUUCAUUAUUUAAAAAUUAAUUUUGAUGUGAAGAAGCAUUAAUUGUUCUAAUAGACAAGAAGACCCUAUUGAGCUUUAGUAGAUGACAAGAAUAAAAAUAUGAAUCAAAAAAUUAUUUUUUGUUUUAUACUUUGGUUGGGGCGACAGAGGAACAUGGAAGCUUCCUUUAUUUUAAAAGAAUUUUAUGAUCCAAUAUGUGUUGAUUAAAAGAAGUAGUUACCAUAGGGAUAACAGCGUAAUCCUUUUUGAGAGUUCAUAUCGAAAAAGGGGCUUGCGACCUCGAUGUUGGAUUAAGAUUUCCGGUUGGUGUAGAAGCUUUCUUUGGUUGGUCUGUUCGACCAUUAAAAUCUUACAUGAUCUGAGUUCAGACCGGCGUAAGCCAGGUCGGUUUCUAUCUUUAGAAUUAAUUGGUUUUCAACUAGUACGAAAGGACCGUUUGAUAAAUGAAAUGUUCAUGAUGAGGAAGUAAUUUAAUUUUUCAUU
rnacentral:rRNA from 1 species